AUUCUGCUAAUGAUAGAGAAAGUCUUCUAUAUAGUAACCUUCUUCUCUCUCAUCUUCAUACCAGCUAUGAAGGUUUUCAAAGUACCAGAAAAAAAAAAAAGAAUCUUUGCUUUCAAUGCACCACGUGAAAUAUAUGUCUGAGAAAAUAUGAAGACAAAAAUUUGCAAAGUUCCAGUAUUUACAAAGGAACCACAGAGCUUCCAACUUUCCUAAUUGGG